CCUGAGAAACGGCUACCACAUCCAAGGAAGGCAGCAGGCGCGAAAAUUACCCACUCUCAAUGCGAGGAGGUAGUGACUAUCAAUAACGAGACAGAUCUCUAUGAGGCCUGUCAUCGUAAUGGGUACAAUGUAAACCCUUUAACGAGGAUCUAUGAGAGGGCAAGUCUGGUGCCAGCAGCCGCGGUAAUUCCAGCUCUCAUGGCGUAUAUCGUCAUUGCUGCGGUUAAAAAGCUCGUAGUUGGAUCUGUGCCAAUGUGCGUGGUUUCCCCUUCGGGGUUACUGCUGUGCUUGGUUUGUGUCGGUUUUCCGGCGUGGCUUUAAUCGGCUGCGUCGGUGGCUGACGAGUUUACCUUGAAUAAAUCAAAGUGCUCAAGACAGGCGUUUCGCUUGUAUGCUUCUGCAUGGAAUAAUGGAAUAGGACUUCGGUUCUUUCUGUUGGUCUUAGGAUCGAAGUAAUGAUUAAGAGGG
rnacentral:rRNA from 1 species